UACGUAGGGUGCAAGCGUUGUCCGGAAUUAUUGGGCGUAAAGAGCUCGUAGGCGGUUUGUCGCGUCUGCUGUGAAAACUCGGGGCUUAACCCCGGGCCUGCAGUGGGUACGGGCAGACUAGAGUGCGGUAGGGGAGACUGGAAUUCCUGGUGUAGCGGUGAAAUGCGCAGAUAUCAGGAGGAACACCGGUGGCGAAGGCGGGUCUCUGGGCCUUACCUGACACUGAGGAGCGAAAGCGUGGGGAGCGAACAGG
rnacentral:rRNA from 1 species